UUUUAGUAAGCGUACCCAGUAAAGCGUAGCGGCACGGGCGCUGGAGCAAUCCAGCGCCCGUUCUGC
rnacentral:sRNA from 1 species